CUUUCAGCUGUGCACUUCUUUUCCUCUUUCAGGUUCUACCCUGACGUUUCCUGGAGUAAUGCUGAGGACUGCCUGUCGGGUAGCCGUUUCAUUCAGUUCACUGCAUCUCGGAAACACCUGACCACUGCCUUGGAUCCAGCGGCCCUCCUGAGAGCUGAGGAAGCAGGAACUCCAAUGUGUCUGCUCCCGGAGCUGCCACAACCCAUUUUCCUGCAACUCAAAACUUGGAAAAAGGAACCCAGGACAUCGCUUUACUUUUGUUUUGGACCUAGUUGCAGGCACAGCUUGGAGGAAACCAGUUCGUACUAUUUGAUGAGGAAUUUGGCCACCAAACCACUGAUACUUUCUCAAAGGUUUGGCAGAAAUUGUUUUUCGAGUGACUCACCAGAGUCCGUAGAAGAAUCAGCAUGGAAUUAGAGGACAGUGACCUACCCUCGCCAAAGACAUGAGUGACGUGUGAAGUCUAUUGUCAAUUUAUUCAAAAAAUAUCAAAAUUAUUUUGGGAGCUAUGGGUCAGAGUUGAUAGGCACAAACAAAUAAACAAACAAACAAAAACAUAGGUAUUUUAAAUUCACAGCUUGGAUAAGAAAAAGGGAGAUGUUGUCAUUUCUCUUCUUCAAUCCAACUUUAGAUUUUCAAGCCGGAAAAAGAUAAUUAGAAGUCAGAAAUCGUUAUUGCCAGAAAAGAGCUCUAAACCCUGAAACAAACAACAAACAAACAAACAAAAAACCUGGCCCUCCUCUUGGGGAGUGAUAAACCUCGAUUACUGUUGAUAGUAAAACUGGUAUCAACUAUUCCAGUGAAAACCCGUGAAAGGCGAACGUAAACCUUACCCUGGGUUAAGGUUUGAAAACUGUUUAUAAUAUAUAUUUGAAAGUUUCAUUAUUUAAAAUAUGUAUUGGACAUGCUUUGUAAUGUUAAGUUACUUUAAAAAAUCUUACACAAGGGAGGGGAAGUAUGUAUUAUUCCUUCAUUUAAAAAGAGAUACAGUGUGAAUAUUAGUUAAUAUUUAUCGUACAUUUACUACCUGUGUCAAGGCAUAGUGUGACACACUUUAUUUCAAUUAUUUAAUUUGAUUCUAACAACGAAUCCCCUGAGCUGCAUAAUAUCCUCUUCAUUUUACAGAUGAGACAAUUGAGUCUUAGAGGUUAAACAAAUGAUUUCCUAAGCUCAUUCAGCCAAUAAGUGGUAGGGGACUACUUGACACCGGUCCGAUUGAUCCUCAAAUCCAUGAUUUCUGCCAUCAUAUUCACAGAAAGAAGACAAGAGCUGAAAUUCUAGUCUGACUCUUGAAACAGUCAAAGAAUCGUGUAUGUUUAUGAAAGUUCUGAUUAAUAAGAUAUUCUGAGGACAAAAGACAUGAAUAGAUGGGCAAUGUGUAGAUUAGAAUGUAUCACAAUGCCCACUAAAUAAUAAAACUAUGGAAAAUGAAAUUUAAUCCUUACUGUGUAGAAUAUUUAGAGUAGAUUGUUUUUUCCUGGGUAUCAGUUACUAUUACACUAUACAAGAAUAAAAUUAAACAAGAAACGGUUCCUCUGGUAUUUUAGUUUUUUAAAGGUGGGAGUUAUAAAAACAGUAUUUGCCAUCUGGUUUUAGUUAUGGCUUUGGAAAUUCUAUGGGUACAAUUUGUUGUCAUUAUUGUUGUUACCACUACUGAUACAGAGACUCUAAUUGUGACAUUAGUUUCCAAAUCAGAUAGUGAAUAACUACGUUUUCAAUGUUGUCUUAACACAGAUACAAGUUAACAGGAUAUGCUUCUGGUGUGUUUCUGGAUUCUAAGGGUAGAACCAGCAUAAAACUAGUCAGUCCAAGUAUUUCUAAAGAUCACCAGACACAGUUCUCCUGGAUUUGGGAAGCCUAGAGAUGUUAGCAGAAUAACUAUGGCCCAAGUGGGUAUGAAAUUUUGUCUGAAAUUAAAGAGAUAUUGAUUAGAUAAUCCACAGAGACUGCUUUUUAGUGAUUAUCUUCCACCAGAGUAAAACAACAGCAACCUGAAAACCCAAAAGACCAUACGUUUUAAUGGCAAGUCCUCCCCAGGAAGGAUUAAUCAAUCUGAGAAUUCAUCUGUAAAUCCAGGAGGAAGAAAUCAAGAUGAAAACUGUCAUAUUGAUCAAUUUGACUGUGGCAAUUUCAUAGUUUGACGUAGUGCAAUUGCUUUAGAUUUGAAAGGGAACUUACUUUUGAGUAAGUCACUGUAUCUGUUUAGAUUUGAAAGGCACCUUACUUUAGAGUCAGUCACUCAGUCUCUUUUUUGAAAAGGAAAAUGCCACACCUCACCCUCAUCAUUGCCUUCUCCUUUGUCCAUAGCCUGGCUUUAUUCUGCCAUUCAUACACACACACACACACACACACACACACACACACACACACACACACAGGGAAGAGAUUUCUCAUUUUACAGAAAGUAUGCCGGGCUACACAGGAUAUUCUAUCAGGUUUCUUCCAGCUAUAAAAUUCUGAGACUACCAAAUUAAAGUACUAAUUGUCAGUGACGGGGGAUGUUCUACAAUUUGCUUCUAGUGGUACUCAUUGCUAAUUUCCUAUAUUCACUGGCAUAAAAAAUUUCAAACACCCUCAUAAAAGGCUAUACUGGUGGUACCAGGAAAACACUGAAAAUCAUUACUUUCUGUGUUGUGUCCAGCUUUUUUGGCUACAUCAUCACCUCGACCAUUCACUUUUAAAGAAAAACUUCUGUGGAACAAAAAUGUAAAGAUUUUUUUUUUCUUGGCGGCUUAGCACAGUGGCCUAGUGUGGCUGACUAUGUGUGCCUGUUGUGUGAGUCACUUAGACGUGCUUUGUUUCUUGGUCACAGUUUAUCCCUCAGCGCAAGCAUCUCACCCUCAGAAUGUUUGUAUGGGACCCAACCAGCAAACCUGGAGACGGGUUAUUUCUUUCACCUUGGAUUGGCUCAUCUGCUGUGAGUGGAGCCAAGCUGACAUUUCCUUUCCUUUAUCUUCUUUCCUUCCUUUUUGUCUGCCUAUCACUAGGUAGAGGCAGCACAUAAGAGAGGGAAAGUCAUGCACGUGGAGUCCAGCAGAUCACCCAGAAGGCAGAUGUUCUAUCUCCAGUUUACUCAUUAAAACAAACAAAACCACACCUGGAUUGCCUGGUACUUAAAUAAAAUGCACUAUGAUGACUGAAGAAAAAU